UCGGGGGCAAGGACGAUCGCCGCAAACGCGGAGGAAAGUCCGGGCUCCACAGAAGCAUGGCGCCGGAUAACGCCCGGCUGGAUCGAUCCACGGGAAAGUGCCACAGAAAACAAACCGCCUCGUCCCAGGACAAGGUAAGGGUGAAACGGUGCGGUAAGAGCGCACCAGCGCCGGCGGCAACGCCGGCGGCUCGGUAAACCCCGCCAGGAGCAAGACCAACAACGACCGCAUCGCUGUCUUGCGACCGCGAUAGCGCCGCUUCUGCUCAGGUCGAGGUAGGUCGCUUGAGGCGACGGGCGACCGUCGUCCCAGACGAAUGAUCGUCACGCCCGUUCAAAAGGCGGGUGUACAGAACCCGGCUUACAUUGCCCCCGGCGCC
rnacentral:RNase_P_RNA from 1 species